GACGAACGCUGGCGGCGUGCUUAACACAUGCAAGUCGAACGGAAAGGCCCUGCUUUUGUGGGGUGCUCGAGUGGCGAACGGGUGAGUAACACGUGAGUAACCUGCCCUUGACUUUGGGAUAUCUUCAGGAAACUGGGGCUAAUACCGGAUAGGAUCUCCUGCUGCAUGGGGGGGGUUGGAAAGUGUCGGCGUUUGGGUAUGUACUUGCGGCUUAUCAGCUUGUUGGUGUGGUAGUGGAUGACAAGGGAUUUGACGGGUAGCCGGCCUGGGAGGGUGACCGGCCACAUUGGCCUACGGAUAGGGCCAAGAGUCAUACGGGCGGAAGGAGUGGAGAAUAUAGCACAAUGCGCCGAAGCCGGAUGCAGCAACGCCGCGUGGGGGAUGACGGCCUUUGGGUUGUAACACGUGUUCGCGUGUGACGACGCGUGAGUGACGGUAAUGGGUAAAGAAGCACCGGCUACCUACGU
rnacentral:rRNA from 1 species